CAAGUCGAACGAGAAAGUGGAGCAAUCCAUGAGUAAAGUGGCGCACGGGUGAGUAACACGUGACUAACCUACCCUUGAGUGGGGAAUAACCUAGGGAAACCUGGGCUAAUACCGCAUAACACCUACGGGUCAAAGGAGCAAUUCGCUUAAGGAGGGGGUCGCGGCAGAUUAGCUAGUUGGCGGGGUAAUGGCCCACCAAGGCGGUGAUCUGUAUCCGGCCUGAGAGGGCGCACGGACACACUGGAACUGAAACACGGUCCAGACUCCUACGGGAGGCAGCAGUGGGGAAUUUUGCGCAAUGGGGGAAACCCUGACGCAGCAACGCCGCGUGGAGGAUGAAGUCCCUUGGGACGUAAACUCCUUUCGAUCGGGACGAUUAUGACGGUACCGGAGGAAGAAGCCCCGGCUAACUUCGUGCCAGCAGCCGCGGUAAUACGAGGGGGGCAAGCGUUGUUCGGAAUUAUUGGGCGUAAAGGGUGCGUAGGCGGUUCGGUAAGUCUUAUGUGAAAUCUUCAGGCUCAACUUGAAGUCUGCAUGAGAAACUGCCGGGCUUGAGUGUGGGAGAGGUGAGUGGAAUUUCCGGUGUAGCGGUGAAAUGCGUAGAUAUCGGAAGGAACACCUGUGGCGAAAGCGGCUCACUGGACCAUAACUGACGCUGAUGCACGAAAGCUAGGGGAGCAAACAGGAUUAGAUACCCUGGUAGUCCUAGCCCUAAACGAUGAUCGCUUGGUGUGACGGGUACCCAAUCCCGCCGUGCCGAAGCUAACGCGUUAAGCGAUCCGCCUGGGGAGUACGGUCGCAAGGCUGAAACUCAAAGGAAUUGACGGGGCCCGCACAAGCGGUGGAGCAUGUGGUUUAAUUCGACGCAACGCGAAGAACCUUACCUGGGCUCGAAAUGUACAGGAAUCCGGUGGAAACAUCGGCGGCCCGCAAGGGGCCUGUAU
rnacentral:rRNA from 1 species